UCAAAUUGACGAGCACGUGACGAAGUUCGAUCCUCUCCAAAGCGGGUCUGCCAACCGGGGUCGGGACGGGCCCGAAAUCGGGCACGCAAGCCCGCGGCUUGGCUGAGUUUUCUGCUCUCGCGCUGCUGGCCCUGCUGCCUCGAUGGAGAUGCGGCUGUCUUCGGUGGAGCUCGGCUAAAAAGAAACUGCCGUGGUUCCGCUUGACUUUGAUCGAGGAAAUUGAAGCAGAAGCCGUGGCCAGGCGAGGAAAGAUGAAAGCGAGACCGAAGCUGCAGGGAAUGAAAAUAGGCAGAGGCUUCGAUCAUCUGGCGUGCGUGUGAGACAAAACGGAGAGAGAGAGAACGGAUGAAGAGGGAAAAUAAAAGCUGCGUCCACUGAAG
rnacentral:lncRNA from 1 species